AGAGUUUGAUGGUGGCUCAGGAUGAACGCUAGCUACAGGCUUAACACAUGCAAGUCGAGGGGCAGCAUUUCAGUUUGCUUGCAAACUGGAGAUGGCGACCGGCGCACGGGUGAGUAACACGUAUCCAACCUGCCGAUAACUCGGGGAUAGCCUUUCGAAAGAAAGAUUAAUACCCGAUGGCAUAAUUAGACCGCAUGGUCUUAUUAUUAAAGAAUUUCGGUUAUCGAUGGGGAUGCGUUCCAUUAGGCAGUUGGUGAGGUAACGGCUCACCAAACCUUCGAUGGAUAGGGGUUCUGAGAGGAAGGUCCCCCACAUUGGAACUGAGACACGGUCCAAACUCCUACGGGAGGCAGCAGUGAGGAAUAUUGGUCAAUGGACGAGAGUCUGAACCAGCCAAGUAGCGUGAAGGAUGACUGCCCUAUGGGUUGUAAACUUCUUUUAUAUGGGAAUAAAGUUUUCCACGUGUGGAAUUUUGUAUGUACCAUAUGAAUAAGGAUCGGCUAACUCCGUGCCAGCAGCCGCGGUAAUACGGAGGAUCCGAGCGUUAUCCGGAUUUAUUGGGUUUAAAGGGAGCGUAGGUGGACAGUUAAGUCAGUUGUGAAAGUUUGCGGCUCAACCGUAAAAUUGCAGUUGAUACUGGCUGUCUUGAGUACAGUAGAGGUGGGCGGAAUUCGUGGUGUAGCGGUGAAAUGCUUAGAUAUCACGAAGAACUCCGAUUGCGAAGGCAGCUCACUGGACUGCAACUGACACUGAUGCUCGAAAGUGUGGGUAUCAAACAGGAUUAGAUACCCUGGUAGUCCACACAGUAAACGAUGAAUACUCGCUGUUUGCGAUAUACAGUAAGCGGCC
rnacentral:rRNA from 1 species